GAGAGAGAGAGAGAGAGACAUCGAGCUAGAGAAGAGAGAGGGAGGGGAAAGGGGUGAGAAGGAGAGAGACAGAGAGAGAGAGAGAGAGAGAGAGAGAGAACGCAGAGGGAGGGAGGGAGACCAAACCUCUGCUUUACUGCCUUGAAAGCUUCUGAAUUUCAAGCAGAAAGUAGAAGGAGCCCCGUAAGGCAGUGAGCGUCUUUCCUUGCGCGGCGCGUACAGAGCGUAGACAAUGAAAAUCUCCAUCCCCCUCCCCCAUCCCCGCUAGACUGCAAGAUUUUUGUUUCCGUUCCUUCUCUACAGUGGACGAUAAUGUAGAAUCAAAUAUAUAGAGCAGUGUAGGUAUUUAAAAAAAAACAAAAACAAAAAACAACCAAACGGGCUGCGACGCGGAUUACCCAAGCGCACGCUGGUUGGGCACCUUCUGGGGUCUCCGCGCAACCCCGGCUCUGCGCGCCCUCUCCAUUCCUCGGACGCCGCAGGAGCCGGCCUUUCCCUCCGGCCCACCGCGCCGCAGGGGACCCCGCGAAGGAGCUGCUGCCCCCGGCCGCCUCCCCCGCAGUGCACAGGGCUCCGCCUGCAGAGGUCAACUCCCCUCAUCCCUUCCUUUGCUUGUCUGACUCCCUCCGCCGGCCCAAGCACUUUCAGGCUCAGACCCCUUGCCGCAGUCUGAGAGGUUCGGGUCCGCUGCCUUGCUUUCAGCCGAAUUCUGCUGUCCGGCCCAGACCAAAGGUCCACGCUCGGGGCGGUGGGAAAGCUUUAGGAGCAGGCUUUUCUCUAUGCACCAAAAUCCCAGAAACAAAGUCCUCAGCAGCAGACCUUAGUGCUGAUGUAGUUAUCAGAGAUUCAGAACAGGCUCCAGUGUGGACUUGA
rnacentral:lncRNA from 1 species